ensembl:lncRNA
ACAGAGGAUGAGAUGGUUGGAUGGCAUCACCAACUCGAUGUACAUGAGUUUGAGCAAGCUCCGGGAGCUAGUAAAGGACAGGGAAGCCUGGCGGACUGCAGUCCAUGGGGUCGCAAAGAGUCUCACACGACUUACGGACUGAACAACAAAGAAUUGGUGAAUACCCUGGGCGGACAGCUCGGAAAUACCCAGCUCCCCCUGGCGGGCUCUGGCGCCUGGCGCUUCGCCGCUUCUCUGCCCCGCCCUCUAGUGCCGCAGGGGUGUCGGCGCUGGGCUGCUCCGCUCUGCACCAGGCUGCCAGGGACGCAUUUUCUACUGUUUCUCAACUUUUCCCUUCCAGUCCUGAGAGUUCUUGCUCAAGUUCUUGUUUCUUGCCAGAAGAGAGUCACCUUUAAUGGACAACAUUGGUCUUGGGCCCUACUUGGAAUAAAAGUGCUUAAAAAACGUAGAACAUCCGGCUGGAAAGAACAUGCCCAUUUGCAGUAACCAGGAUGGGAUCCAGGCCCCUCGACGAGAGCCUCCGAUUCAGCACCGUGGGGGCCGAUGGCGGGCUGUCGGGGAGCCGUAGCCGGGCCGGGGUGCCCCUCUUCACCACCCGGAUGUCAUUCCCAGCUGUCAGGAGGGAGGUAGCCUUUCUGUUCUAUUCAGGUUCUCAACAGGUUGGGAGGCUGGGCCCAUCCGCGUGCAGAGGAUGGUGUGCAUUACUCCGCCCACCGACUCCAAUACUUCUCUCUCCCGGAAACACCCUCGCAGACACCCGGAGACGCCCUCACAGACACCCGGGAACACCCUCACACACCCAGGAACACACAGACACCCGGGAACGCCCUCACGGACACCCGAAAGUAAUGUUUAACCAGCUUAUAUGAGGAAACAGCAACCCACUCGUGUUCUUGCCUGGAGAAUCCCAAGGAUAGAGGAGCCUGGCGGGCUACAGUCCACGGGGUCGAGAGAGUCGGACACGACUGAGUUACUAAACCAUGAACAUCUCGGCGCGCAGUCAAGCUGCUAAGUUAAUUAACCAUCACAGGGAAAAAUUAUUUCACUGAAGAAGUAACAGGACAAAAUAGGGCGGCCAACCAAAGACCCCAAGAAGCCAAGAAGGCGCUUCGGAGAUGCGGCGUCUGUCUGUGGCUCAGAGACUUCCCUGGUGGUCCAGUGGUUAAGAAUCCACCUGCCAGUGCAGAGGACACAGAUUCGAUCCUUGGUCCAGGAAGAUUCCACGUGCCUCAGGGCAAGCCUGAGCGCCGCAACAACUGAAGUCUGUGUGUCCUAGAAUCCAUCCUCUACAACCUGUGCACCACAGCUAGAGAGUAGCUCCCACUCGUGACAACGAGAGAAAGCCCACAUGCUGCAAUGAAGACCCAGUACAGCCAAAAAUAAAAUAAAUAAAUACAUAAAUAAAAGGACCACAAUGUUACAAUAAGAAAGAAAGCUACUUUUUAUUAAAUUAUAGCUGAUUUACAGUAUUGUGUGUGUUAGUUUUGGGUGUACAAAGUGAUUUGGUCAUACAUAUGUAUAUGUUGUUUUUCCUGAUUCUUUCUCGUUAUACUUUACUACAAGAAGUUGAAUGUAGUCCUCUGUUCUAUACAGUAAAACUUUGUUGUUUAUCUCAGAAAGUUACUUUAGUUUCUGAGUUUGGGUGGUGGUGGUGGUGGUGUGAGGACUUUUUGUUUGUUAAGUUUUUGUGUUUAAUUGUGACAACAGAAAAUGGUUGUGAGGAUUUGGGGAAGAAAUACAGAAUAUUCCUGAGGCCAGUUGCUUUAUAAAACCGACCACACAAAAUCUGUUGAUGAAGAAAAAAAGACAUUCUGAUUCCUAUCUGACCGUUUUUAGAUUGGGGCAUGGGGACGAUUAGGGACAGUGCAGGAAAUAACACGGUGUCCACAGAGGAGUGUCCCCUGCCCGUGACCUACAGAUUGCUGCAAACACUCUCUGCAAGUUGCAGGCACAGUUUUGAGUCCCCACAGUGUGGUUCAUGAUGCAAUUUGUAGUCUCAGUUUCUUUUACAAAAUUAUGAUGUUUAAAGCAUCGUGUAAUUAGGUCAGAGGAAAACAGUGUUUAUUCUAUGAGCUGAGCAGAGGCUGCACUUCUGAGUUCUCAUUAACCCAGUGGUUGAUUUGCUACUGCCAAGAGUCUGCUGACAAUGAAGGCAUGAGAGCAGGCCGACAGCCUCUCACAUGCGGCUAAUCCCCACGCCAGCUGUCCUGCUCAGCUCCGUCUUUAGACAAGCUGUCACCUCCCACGUCAAAUAACGCUGAGCGCCCACACGAGCCACACCUGCAGCAUCCCUCCUCCAGCUGUCUCGGGGGCUGGGGCCCCUGGCUCCAGAUCCUCAGAGCUGCUGCCGUCAGUGCCUCUGUGAGCUCUUGCACCUGUUAUUUGUAUGUUUCAGUGUGUGUUCAUUUGGAUAACCACUAAUUAUGUCCUGGUGUAAUAAAUAUAAAAU